rnacentral:rRNA from 1 species
AACGGAGUUGUCGUGGGUAAGAGUUCAUAUCGACCUCACGGCUUGCUACCUCGAUGUCGGCUCUUCCUAGCUUGGUGGUGAUUCAGCCGCCAAGAGUGGGGUUGUACGCCCAUUAAAAGGGAACGUGAGCUGGGUUUAGACCGUUGUGAGACAGGUCGGAUUCUAUCUGAUGGUGCUAGCGGGCGAUUGAGAGUAAAGUCUCCACAGUACGAGAGGAACAGGCGGCUGGGGCCUCUGGUGUACCGGUUGUCCUUAAGGGCAUUGCCGGGUAGCUAAGCCCUCGACGAUAAGAGCGGAAAGCAUCUACGCUCGAAGCGUCUCUCGAAACGAGUCGCCCACUCUGCUACAUCAUAAGGGGGUUGGUGACAACAACCUUCGUAGUAGACGAGAGCGCGGAAAGAAGAUCCGUUUGAUAGAGCAGGGGUGUACGCG